rnacentral:misc_RNA from 1 species
AAGACUAUAGACCUGCGGAGUACCUGCGGAAGGAUCAUUAACGUUGGGGACUAACAAUCCCUCAGCGAGAUAGAACCCUUGCCUUUUCGAGUACCACACGUUUCCUCGGCAGGUACGCCUGCCAAUGGGGACCACAACAAAACCUUUUGUAAUAGCAGUAAACGUCUUAAGAACAAAACUUUUAAAACUUUCAACAAUGGAUCUCU